GAGUUUGAUCAUGGCUCAGGACGAACGCUGGCGGCGUGCCUAACACAUGCAAGUCGAACGGGGUAGCAAUACCCAGUGGCGAACGGGUGCGUAACACGUGAGAAAUCUAACAUUCGGUGGGGGAUAGCCGGCCCAACGGCCGGGUAAUACCGCGUACGCUCGUUGAGGGGCAUCUCUUGGCGAGGAAAGCAGCAAUGCGUCGAAUGGGGAUCUCGCGGCCUAUCAGCUAGUUGGUGAGGUAAUGGCUCACCAAGGCAACGACGGGUAGCUGGUCUGAGAGGAUGGCCAGCCACAUUGGGACUGAGACACGGCCCAGACUCCUACGGGAGGCAGCAGUGGGGAAUCUUGCGCAAUGGGCGAAAGCCUGACGCAGCGACGCCGCGUGCGGGAUGAAGGCCUUCGGGUU
rnacentral:rRNA from 1 species